rnacentral:lncRNA from 1 species
UAAUGAUGGAUCUCUAGCCAUUGGCUUUCUUGCCGCUGAGGUUUGUUUUAAUACGCCAGUUGACAGUUAUAAAAUGGCAAUUCUGGAAGUCCCAUCCAAGGAUUGCUAUGUAUUAACACAUCAUUAAAAUGGUACAUGGCAAAGUCAACAUACAAUUAUAAUUGUUGACCUAUCAAAUACUGAAAGUUUUGGAAACCUCACUGGAAGCCAAAUGCUGUGUUAUUACACUGGGAUUCCAUGAAAGGAAGAGUGUGUUGCAAAUGGUUUGAUGUGUUAAUGGUUUUUAUCAAUAUUGUUUUUUUACAAAAUAAGUAGAUGGUGUGUCCAAAUAUAUUAUAAUGUAUUCCAUUUUUAUUCUACAUAUACCUCAUGGACAUAUGCACACACAUAUAAUGCAUACAUGUGAAGUGUAACAUGUGGUCACACUUGGGACAAUCUAUUGUGACCUAUAUAAUGGCCCAAGAGCUAUUCAGCAGGGUCCCUGAAUCCAUAACUCUCAAUUAGGACAGAGGCUCCCAAGGCAGCUGCAACACCCAUCUGAAUGUAUAAGUUAUGCUUUAUAAAACUUAUAUCAUGACUCAUACAUUAAACAAUCAUUUUAUAGCAUAAGCCAAUAACCUUUUUAUUGAGCAGUGUAGCCAUUGCAGAGUGGAGGGACAGAUGAAUGAUGCAUCCUCAGAGCCUCAUAACAAUGCAUCCUUGUACCUUCUCUUGGCAAAUAGUGGCUCUGCCCAAGUGUGGCAAAGUAUUUAAGCCAAUUCAAAAUUAAUAGGGCUGUUGGUUCUGAAUUCAGGAUAAACAAACCUCUGCCCAAGGAGAUAUUGGAUCUACUAUCUUUCAGAUGGGUUACCCCAGCAAAGCCAAGUUCCCUUGUAAGCACCUCAAGUGCAUCCUGUGCCUCUGACACUGCAUUGGUCACAAAAGUCACCUCAUAAUGACAUCACCUGAGCUUUCCAAGCAUCUGAAGGGGUUGGAGCAUAUUGAAUAGUUCUGAGUGGUUUUCUCUGUCUAGACCAAGCUCCCUGACCAUGGUGGUUGGAAAUCUGUCUGCACAUGGCCAGUGGCAGAUAUAAGCUAGACUUUUCUGUGGCUAUUUUAGGAUAUUCAGAGAGAGAGAUCAAAGAGUAUCACAUGUUUUAAAGAAACAGGAAGUCAUAGAGCAAAAUCAAAUGGAUAAGGGAAAAAAAAAAAAAAACAGCAACAAGAAGACUCAAAAUUGAGAGGCAAAGUCGAAAAAGAACAUGAACAACCCAAAACACUGGAUAAACUCUGGAGAUAAAGGAACCAAACAGAGGACUCAUGAAUUGGAAGGUAGCAUUGAAGGAUUUAAGCCAAAAGGCAGUACAGAGGAACAAAGGAAUUUUUCAAAGGAAGUUUUUAAAAGUUAAGAAAGAGUGAAACAGCUUGAAAGUUAUCCACUGAAAGGCUUCGCAAUAAGCAAUGAGAUCCUGCUGUAUAGCACAGGGAACUAUAUCUAGUCACUUCUGAUGGAACAUGAUAGAGGGUAAUGUGAGAAAAGAAUGUACAUAUAUAUGUUUGACUGGGUCACUUUGCUGUACAGCAGAAAUUGACAGAACAUUGUAAAUUAACUAUAAUAGAAUAAAAAUCUUUUUAAAAAAAGGAUAAAAAAUAAUAGCUUGCUACAAAGAAAGCAAUAACUAUAAUGCUGUUUAUGUGAGGUAAACAAUCAUUGCAUUGUGUUUUAAAGAAUAGAAAAUGUAGCUAGAAGAACUGGUUUCGUUAUUCACUUAGCUCAUAUCUUUAAAACUUCAACACUGAACUGAUGCUUAAAAAAAAAAGAAAGACUUCAAAAAGAGUGAACAGAAUAAAUAGAGGGAAAUCCACCCUUCACUCAUCAUAGUGAAGCUACGGAAAUCGAGAAUGAAGAAGAAAUCUUAAAGCAGCCAAAGAGAAAAAAACAGAUGACUGCAAAGGAACAACAGUCACCUGACAGCAGAAGCCUGGAGUCACACCUCUCGAGGGCUGAGAGCAGCCACAGCCCUGCAUUGCUGUCCAUCUCCCAUUAGUGUUCCGUGGCACACUCAGGGGCAAGCUCAGGCUGUCUUUCUCCAGAAUCUCCCAUAACAGACAGGGAUUGAGCUUCAUGUUCCUGGCCCUACCAUCCAUCCUGUCAUAUAAAAGCCAAAGCCUGAGAAUCAACCCAUAGCCAGAACAUCCCCAAGUCAUGUCACUUUCUGUUUCCUAAGUUCAGUCUGUCCCUUGUCCCUGGCAUCAGGGAGCACUGUUCUGCUUCAAGCCCAUUGCAGCAGCCUCUUGGCUGGCCUUGCCUCCAGCCAGCACACCAAUACUAAAGUGACUUUUUGAAGACCAUGUCUAAGAGGGGCUCCCUUUACUGCUUCCCGGCUCAAAGCCCAUCCCUGGCUCACCUCAAAACAGCCCUGUCCUGUCCCGCUCCCGCACCCUGCCCAGGCCUGCCUGUGGACCCCCAAGUCAGACUUGUAAGGAGUUUCUGUUGUGGCUCAGUGAGUUAAGAACCCAACUAGUAUCUGUGAAGAUAUGGGUUCGAGCCCUGGCUUGGGGGGUUAAGGCUUUGGCAUUGCCAUGAGCUGUGGUGUAGGUCAUAGACACAGCUCGGAUCUGACAUUGCUGUGACUGUGGUGUAGGCCAGGAGCUACUGCUCCCGUUGAACCCCUAGCUUAGGAACUUCUAUAUGCCACGGCCCU